GCAGGAGCAGCUCGACUGGUGGAGCAACGGUUUGUGGAACCGGAGGUAGUGGGUUCGAGUCCCACCUCCUGUACCA
rnacentral:tRNA from 1 species